GUUUGUGGCUCAAUGGUAGAGUGCUCACCUAGCACAUGCGAGGCCCUGGGUUUGAUUCUUAGCACUACA
rnacentral:tRNA from 1 species